rnacentral:rRNA from 1 species
CAGUCGCGGGGCAGCGAGUAGAUUGCUUGCAAUCUACGUCGGCGACCGGCGCACGGGUGCGUAACGCGUAUGCAACCUACCCAUUACAGGGGGAUAACACUGAGAAAUCGGUACUAAUACCCCAUAACAUCCAGGGAGGCAUCUUCUUGGGUUGAAAACUCCGGUGGUAAUGGAUGGGCAUGCGUUGUAUUAGUUAGUUGGUGGGGUAACGGCUCACCAAGACGACGAUACAUAGGGGGACUGAGAGGUUAACCCCCCACAUUGGUACUGAGACACGGACCAAACUCCUACGGGAGGCAGCAGUGAGGAAUAUUGGUCAAUGGACGCAAGUCUGAACCAGCCAUGCCGCGUGCAGGAAGACGGCUCUAUGAGUUGUAAACUGCUUUUGUACGAGGGUAAACGCAGAUACGUGUAUCUGUCUGAAAGUAUCGUACGAAUAAGGAUCGGCUAACUCCGUGCCAGCAGCCGCGGUAAUACGGAGGAUUCAAGCGUUAUCCGGAUUUAUUGGGUUUAAAGGGUGCGUAGGCGGUCGGAUAAGUUAGAGGUGAAAUCCCGGGGCUCAACUUCGGAAUUGCCUCUGAUACUGUUCGGCUAGAGAGUAGUUGCGGUAGGCGGAAUGUAUGGUGUAGCGGUGAAAUGCUUAGAGAUCAUACAGAACACCGAUUGCGAAGGCAGCUUACCAAGCUACUUCUGACGUUGAGGCACGAAAGCGUGGGGAGCAAACAGGAUUAGAUACCCUGGUAGUCCACGCAGUAAACGAUGAUAACUCGUUGUCGGCGAUACAAUGUCGGUGACUAAGCGAAAGCGAUAAGUAAUCCACCUGGGGAGUA